rnacentral:sRNA from 1 species
GGAUCGACGUGCAAAGGGAGACGAGUCCAGCAUUUGAUAGCAAUGGUAUGGUGACAGGAUUGGAUACAAAGGGAACAUUCCUCGAUGAUUUCAAGGAGUUACUCCGCCUGGCUUUACAGUACAACAUUUUGCUGUUCCCCACCUUAUGGAAUGCAGGAGUUGAUCAGGACCCUCACCACAGACUGGACGGCCUGCUUAGGGACAGUAGCUAACUUCAGUCUUACAUUGAUAAUGCCUUGACCCCGCUAGUCAAAGCAGUCAACGCUCAUCCAGCACUAGGUGGCUGGGACAUAAUGCAUGAACCGGAAGGGGUGCUAAAUCCGGAUGUGAACAACGAUGAGCCCUGUUUUAACACAACCUUCUUACUUAACACUGGGGUUGGAUGGGCCGUGAAAAAAUACGACUAUGAACAAAUUUUAAGGUGA